rnacentral:rRNA from 1 species
UUCAACGAUGAGGCAUAUAUGUCGACUAUGGGUGUUGGCUCCAACAAUUCUCAUUGGUCUCAAACCAAUGACAUGCAUUUCGAUGACCAUGAGUUCGAGGUGGACGAGGAUGGUGAGGGCACCGUCGACGCAUCGAAAGGAAGAGGAGGCAACUACACCAAUGAUGAAGACAUCUUGCUAUGCAAUACUUGGUUGCAAGUGUCGAGGGAUCCCUCCGUUGGAGGUGAUCAAAGUAGAGAUGCAUAUUGGAACCGGAUGAAGGAGCACUUUGAUCUACACAACAAAAGUGCAAUUGACUGCUCAGACCGAUCUCUUCGCUCCCGGUGGUCGACAAUCAACCAAGAUUGUCAAAGGUGGGCGGCCGCACUUAAGGCGGUUGACAAGUUGAACCCAAGUGGCACUAAUGAUAUAGAUAGGGUAUGUGCCAUUUCUUCCUUGUUCAUCAUGCUUCUUCUUGGUGUUUGUAGUGCUAACUUGUGUUUUUUUAUGUAG